rnacentral:lncRNA from 1 species
CGCAGCAUCACGCCACAUAGGUGAACGCUGGCAGAUUGUGCUUACCUUUUAAGUCCCGCAUUAGAUGGUGGCGAGAAAAAAAAGCCUCUUACACACCAAAAUGAAAAUCCUCUGUCUGUUUGAGUGCUUAGGAAGCCGGCCAAAUAUACUCAGGUAUCAGAGCGUUGGCUCAAUAACCCCUGCAGGCGAUGAUGAAACAUCAUCGCCACCUCUCAUAUCUCGCUCUCGCUCACUCUCUUCCUCCCUCUAGUAGCUCUAGCGGCGCUCCUGGUUUGGACAAACACUCCCUGGCAUGCGUGGUAAUUAAUUAAAGAGAUGAAUUAGAGCAGGCCGUUUUUAAUGCCGACAGGGAGCGUUGAUACGGGCUCUGCGAAUGGGGAGCUUUGGGCAGAAAUGGAUCAUUCCGGGGGUUUAUAAAUGUAAUGUAGAAGUGAGGAUAGGGAUAAAGCCUAAUUCCCCUCAGCUCAUCGGAGCUCUUUUUAUCCUCCUGGUACUGUGCUGUUCUCGUAUGUCUCCCAUGUCUAUGUCUAUGCCAAACAACCAACCUUAAUGAGGUGGAAAGGGAGUUGGAUGACAGAAAGCAGCUGACAGACCAGGGCCCAUAGCAGUGCUGAUCUCAGAGUAGCAGUACUGAUUUAGGAUCAGUUUAGCCUUAUAGAUCACAAUGAAUAUGAUUACAAUGACAAGGGGGAGCUAGUCCUAGAUCGCUAUUCCUACUCUGAAGCAGCUUUGUGAAUACGGGCCCUGGAAGAAAGCUGUUGCCCAAUUCCUUGCACAGCAGUCGUUUCACCACAGGACCCUAGAGGUAUUACAGUCAAUGCUUAUGAACUGAGUAUAAGUGAAUUUCCAUAAAUCAAUGACACUUACAAAUAGGUAGAAUUGUUCAGCAACAUGUGCAGUAAAUGCUAACACGGCUUUGCAAAUGAAAGGUACAUAAUGUAUUUAUUGUCAUCUCCCUAUCAUGCUGUGACAUGGGCCUGGAUGAUGACAAAUGUUCUUCAAG